UUUGACUCGCUCGACCGCUCAUAAAAGCAAUGGGACUCUGUCUGUGAAUGGAGCUUGUAGUUACAACUCCGGUGCAGUAGGUGGCGGUAGCCUACUAUGCAUUGUAACUCCGCCAAUUGCCCUUAAUUCGGAAGAAGAAGAACACAUGACUACGACAAAGUAAAGGAAUAACGGAUCGACCGGAUCAACAUACGAGGGAGGACACUGGAUAAACUGCUGGCCAUAAUGGACAAUCCUGCCCACCCACUACACCAGAAAAUUCAGGGACAGCGGAGUACAUACUCCAACAAGCUCCUCCAGCUUCCUUCCCGCACUGUGCGAUUCAAGAACUCCUUCAUUCCGCACUCCAUCCAGCUGUAUAAUCACUCCCCAUACAGCAAUAGAUAAUAUCCGUCCAUUACCUGACACCCUCAAUGUCAGCUACUUCUCUUUGUUUUUAAUGUCUAUAUUCUAUUUUCUGCUGGAUCUACUCUCUAUUCUAUUUUAUGCUGGGGCUGCCACAUAUACUGUAAUAUUGUACAUGGUAAUUGGUAUAUAUUGUAUAUAUCAUAUAGACAUAAUAUAUCUGUAUAUAUAAUGUACUGUACAUAUAUUAAGUAUAUAUUGUAUAUAUUCGCAGCUAUGUUAAAUUUUAUAUUGCUAUAUCUAGUCUAUUUAUACCUGCAUUGUCAUUUCCAUCCUUACACUCUCCAUCAUUGUAACUGAGCUACUGUGUUGAACAAUUUCCCUUGUGGAUCAUUAAAGUUUGUCUAAGUCUAA